ACCUAACGUAGACGUCCACAUUAGAAAUUGGUGCACGGUUCUGCCUUUCUGCCUCUCUCCACGCGCUGGGCUUGCAUCCAUGGCCGCGAAUCUCGCAGGUCUGUCAAAUCCGCCACGAAUCUCGCCCACAAAGCUUCCAUCCAUGGUUGUCGCGACCAAUCCAUUGCAGUUGCGCCCCGGUCCCCCGGCCGCGCCAGCUUCCAUCCAUGGCUGCCUUGCACGACGCGGCAAUCUCGGCGCUCGCCCUCCCCGCGGCAAGCUCGCCCUCCCCCGCGGUGCAAUCUCGGCAUCCCGCGCGGCAAUCUCGGCCCCGCCAUCCUCGCCACCCAAUUGCUCGGUUAGGCAUAGAUGGAAGGCCUUGGCGCAUCCGCCCCCUCGCAUCCCCCACGCAUGCACCUGCUCCCAUCCCCCCCCGACCUCACGAGAUAGCCGCCUCGCCCACAAAGCUUCCCUCUCCUACAUCCCAUGAUCUGGAUGCCGCCACACCAUGGUCGACGGUCGGGGUCGUCGGAUCCGGAUGCCCGCGCUCUGCGUCGCGUGGAUCUUCUAGAUCACGUGGGAGCUCGACCACAAGUCCGACGACGAGACCAUGAAGUGGCUGCUGGUACAUGCUUGUCGUGCUCUCCCCUCCCCUCCACACCCACCUCGGUAAGACAGCCCCCCGCUGUCAGCACUGAUGGAGCCACAGUAAUAGCGGAUCUCAUCCAUGCCUGCCUUUCUUGUUACCGCUGCUAGCACUUAAUUAGCAUGUCCGGUUAAUUGUUAAUUGUUGGAGAUGAAUAACCAAAGCAGUUAGCGACGGAUCGCGUGGGUACGGCGCCAUGGCUGCCGAGAUCAAUGGGGGCAUCCUCACCGUCGGCAGGCCCAGGCAGCACUGAGUUGCGCUCUGCUGCGGCCGCUACUUCCAGAUGGAUGGAUUUGAUCAAACAGUGAAUGUGAAGGUUGUAAUGGCAACUAAUAGGGCAGAUACUCUAGAUCCUGCUUUGCUGUGGCCAGGUAGACUUGACACGAAAGUUGAGUUCCCUUGUCCUGAUUGGCGGCAAAAGAGGCUUGUGUUCCAAGUCUAUACUGCUAAGAUGGAUUUGAGUGACGAGGUUGAUUUGGAAGAUUAUGUUUGCAGACCGGAUAAGAUCAGUGCUGCUGAUGUUGAGUUGGUUUCAUGGCACAUACCAAGAUUUUUAUGCAUUUGUUGUUUUCUAACUACUGUAUUGCUAGGGUACUUAUGUCCUGUGCUGGCCAAAGCUCUCAAAACCAUGAAAAGGCAAAGAAGGUGCUCCUUAUAGUAAAGCCACAUU